AGCGAACGCUGGCGGCAGGCCUAACACAUGCAAGUCGAACGAACCAGGCGGGGUUAGUGGCGGACGGGUGAGGAACACGAGGGAACGUUCCUGUAGGGGCGGAAUAACUCAGGGAAACGUGUGCUAAUACCGAAUGUGCCCUUCGGGGGAAAGAUAUAUCGCCUUUAGAGCGGCCCGCGUCUGAUUAGCUAGUUGGUUGAGGUAAUGGCUCACCAAGGCGACGAUCAGUAGCUGGUCUGAGAGGAUGAUCAGCCACCUUGGGACUGAGACCCGGCCCAAACUCCUACGGGAGGCAGCAGUGGGGAAUCUUGCGCAAUGGGCGAAAGCCUGACGCAGCCAUGCCGCGUGAAUGAUGAAGGUCUUAGGAUUGUAAAAUUCUUUCACCGGGGACGAUAAUGACGGUACCCGGAGAAGAAGCCCCGGCUAACUUCGUG
rnacentral:rRNA from 1 species